GUGACGGAAGCGGCAGGGGAGGCAGCCCCUCUAACCUGUCCCUGAGCCGGAGGAGGGGGACUUUUCCUCGAGAGGGACGGGAGGGGGCGCUAAUCCCAGUACUAACACCCUAUGGCCCGGCUCCCUCUCGGUUCCCAGCGAUUCGGACGGGUCUUGGCGGCCCCUGGGACCUUCCCCUUGUGGCCGCUCUUUUCCCACCCGCGCGUCGCCCUAUCGACUUUGCAAGCCGGGGUCCUUCCCCCAACCUCCUCUUCGGUACCGCAGCCUUUGCCCCAAGAGCUGCUUCUCUAAGGUGUUCUCUAAGGAGCCCUAGCGCCCUAACCCCAACAGCUGUGACCUUGCACUGAGAGCAGGCCCCAACCCCCGCCAGAUCCGCAGGAACCAGUUAGAAGAGACAAGGCACAGCCGGUGCGGGAGCGGCGCCUGCGCAGUAGGGCGGCAGGGCGAGGGGUCGCGGGAGUCCUCCAGGCUCAAUGAGCGCAGUAGAGGCUUUUGUCUGGGAAGUGAGACGUGGUUCGUGAAAGGCUGCACCUUGUCGGAAGAGUGGGAAGGCUACCUUUCCAGGAAGACAUGGAGAGCAGCGUUGUACCUUUCCGUCUUCUCAAGAUUAAGCCGCAGCUUUCAACUAUGUUUUUCAUUCAACAAUCACUUUCAAUCAAAUACAUCACAACUUUGUUCUUUCAGAAACGGUUUGAAACUAACGGGCAGAGGGAGUUUGACAGAGAGGAGAACAAAUCGCUGACAAAGAACCUUUUACGUUUCAUCAGCGUUGUUAGGACGACAAGCAGGAAUGUCUCAGAUAAUAACUCCCACUUCAAAGAUUUCUCAGCUCAAUAGAAAGCGGACCAUCCUUUUUAUUCAACCACAAGGACUGGCACUAAAGAAGACUCUACUGUUUGAUUUUUUUUUUCCACCGUGUUUAUUUUUCCCCUAUUCACUGGGGUACUUGGAUAAAAUAAACAACAAGACAAUU